rnacentral:misc_RNA from 1 species
GAUGAAGAACGCAGCGAAAUGCGAUAAGUAAUGUGAAUUGCAGAAUUCAGUGAAUCAUCGAAUCUUUGAACGCACAUUGCGCCCCUUGGUAUUCCGAGGGGCAUGCCUGUUCGAGCGUCAUUAUAACCCCUCAAGCUCAGCUUGGUGUUGGGGCCUGCUGCACUGGCAGCCCUUAAAAUCAGUGGCGGCGCCAUCUGGCUCUAAGCGUAGUAAUUCUUCUCGCUAUGGAGUCCUGGUGGAUGCUUGCCAUCAACCCCCAAUUUUUCUAUGGUUGACCUCGGAUCAGAUAGGGAUACCCGCUGAACUUAAGCAUAUCAAUAAGCGGAGGA